rnacentral:rRNA from 1 species
GACGAACGCUGGCGGCGUGCUUAACACAUGCAAGUCGAACGGAAAGGCCCUGCUUUUGUGGGGUGCUCGAGUGGCGAACGGGUAAGUAACACGUGAGUAACCUGCCCUUGACUUUGGGAUAACUUCAGGAAACUGGGGCUAAUACCGGAUAGGAGCUCCUGCCGCAUGGUGGGGGUUGGAAAGUUUCGGCGGUUGGGGAUGGACUCGCGGCUUAUCAGCUUGUUGGUGGGGUAGUGGCUUACCAAGGCUUUGACGGGUAGCCGGCCUGAGAGGGUGACCGGCCACAUUGGGACUGAGAUACGGCCCAGACUCCUACGGGAGGCAGCAGUGGGGAAUAUUGCACAAUGGGCGGAAGCCUGAUGCAGCAACGCCGCGUGCGGGAUGACGGCCUUCGGGUUGUAAACCGCUUUCGCCUGUGACGAAGCGUGAGUGACGGUAAUGGGUAAAGAAGCACCGGCUAACUACGUG